ensembl:lncRNA
UAGUUUACUAGAUUACUAAAUUUUGUUGUGUUGUGGGUGUGUUCUCUCACAUAGUCUGUCAGUAAUCAGUCAACAAGCUCUUUUUAGGCCAUGAUAAGCCAGCUCAACUCCUUUAUUCUGAGUGUUUGAAUGAUUACAGAAGGGAUAUAUCCAUCAUCCUUUGGCACACACAAGUAUGGACAGCGGUAGCCGGUCUGGUCAUAAAGUGCACUGAGGAGUGAGGUAGAUCCAGUUGAGUAUUUUAACAGGCUUUUAUACACUCUUGUUUUUAUUUUGUUUUUAUUCAUGGUCAUAUUUUCCCCCCUGCUCUGACCUUCCUUUCACCCUUCCGCAGAAACCAAAAUGGCGUGAACGCAAUUUUUCAAAGCCUGUCAAAAUAACAAAAACCUUUUCACAUCUCAUUCCCACAUUGCGUGGCUAUAUUUAAACGAAAUCCCAGUGGCUUUGCGUUUCGUCCUUCUUUGACAAGCAAGGACACACAGUAUAGAGCAGUGAGGAAUAAUAGAGUGUGUGAGUGUGAGAGAGAGGAGAGGAGUGAAGCAGGACCAUAGAGAGAGGGGAGCCCCAGAUUGCAGUUGGCUGUCAGAUCAGCAUCAGAUCUGGGCCAGAUCUGGGCCAAGACCCACGUCAGAGUAGACCCAGAUCAGUCCUGUGGUAACCACUGCACGAGGGAACACGUAAAAGAAAUAAACACGUCAUAAAAUUGUUGGAAUCAGUGUUCUUUAUUCUUUUUGUUUUAAGUGUUGAUUUAACCAUAGAUAUUUGGAAGUCAUUUCUGUUGCUAAGCAAUAUAAACAAACGCUACCUCUCUUUUUUAUUGUUGCAUUGUAGUCCAUUCCAAAGGUCCCUUGUUCAGCACCGAUUCUGCUCUUCCCCUCCAGGACCGAACUGAGGACGUUUGGGCCAUGGCCCUGGUGCAGCCUUAGGGAGGGGAACAAAACACAGUGGUUUCACCCCAUAGUGGAAAUGCACCAAUAGUCAGCUGUCAUCUGUGGAAUCAGGGAGAAGAUGGUCCCGGGAGACCCGAAGAGAGACAUGUUUUUACACUGGUUGAAGGAGUGAUGCAGUGAGGUACAGAGAGACCUAGAGAGCGGCUGAAGGAGUGAUGCAGUGAGGUACGAAGAGACCUAGAGAGCGGCUGAAGGAGUGAUGCAGUGAGGUACGGAGAGACCUAGAGAGCGGCCCCAGGAGGCACAUCAGACGGUUGUGAAAGUGCAGACUGUGGCACAGAUCCGUCCUGUGAGACACUCAGUCUGUUGGAGAACAGAUGGUUCUUUAGAGGUACACACAGAGCAGAGGCGGUUCUUUAGAGAUACACGCAGAGCCGAGGCGGUUCUUUAGUGGAAAACACAGAGCAGAGGCGGUUCUUUAGAGAUGCACACAGAGCCGAGGCGUACAGAGGCCUUAGAAUAACCCGCCAGUAGAUAUGACAGAUGUUAGGACAGACUUGUGAGUAUUAUUUUGUGUUGAGUUUGGAAGAUUUAAGGAACUGAACUUAUUGGAAGUAAUCAAUUAUUGGCGUAGGAUGAGCUUUGCACUGGAGGAACCUGUAAGUAAUGUUUGAUGGUGUGAAAAUGGGGCACGGAGGAAGUCUCUUUCUUCUGCCAAAUUGGGAUAUUCAAGAUAUACUUUGUCUUUCUGUCAGAAAACAACAUCUGAGAAGGAGUUAGAAAAUGAUAUGAGACUGAUGGGAAUUACUUUGAGAUAUGAGGGGAAAGCAUCUACAUGCUGCAUGCUUAACACAGACAUCGACCAAAAAUUAGCUUAUUAAAGUGUUUAAAAUAUGUUUGGCGGUGUGAGGAAGAGAGAGAAAGUCAGAAAGACAGCAAGAGAUAGAUAAAUAGACAAACAGAGAGUGAGAGAAUGAGAGAAUGAGUCAGAUGAACAGAAAGAUGUAGAGAGACAGUGAAGCAGAGAGACAGUGGGGCAGAGAGAAAUCAGAGACAGAGAUCAAGAAAGGCAUUCCAACAGAGGUUGAGACCAAGAUUGAAUAACCAAUUAUUGGAUUUACAUUUCUCUGGCUUGUCUUU